CAAAAACAUCGCCUCUUGUUAAAAUAUAAGAGGUCCCGCCUGCCCACUGACUAAAGGUUCAACGGCCGCGGUAUCUUAACCGUGCAAAGGUAGCACAAUAAAUUGUCUUCUAAAUAAAGACUAGUAUGAAUGGCACCACGAGGGCUUAACUGUCUCCUCCCUCUAAUCAAUGAAACUGAUCUUCCCGUGAAGAAGCGGGAAUAAACAUAUAAGACGAGAAGACCCCAUGGAGCUUUAAACUCAUCACCACUUACUAAAUACUAUGCCACUAAAAAAGGUAAAAAUGUUCUUGAUAGUUUUCGGCUGGGGUGACCCUGGAGUACAACAAACCCUCCAGAAUGUAAAGGAGUAAUCCUAACCCAAGAAUUACACUUCUAAGAAUCAAAAAAUUGACAUUAAUGAUCCAAUUAUUUGAUCAACGAACCAAGUUACCCUGGGGAUAACAGCGCAAUCCAUUUCAAGAGCCCCUAUCGACAAAUGGGUUUACGACCUCGAUGUUGGAUCGGGGUAUCCUAGUGGCGCAGCCGCUACUAAUGGUUCGUUUGUUCAACGAUUAAUAACCCCACRUGAUCUGAKUCCAAAACCGGA
rnacentral:rRNA from 1 species